AAGAUUAUACGAAGCUCUACUGUUAAUGAAGAGUAAGAGAAGUAUCAACGAAGUACAAAAUCCAAUUAAUCGUAUUUUCGUAAUAAAAUUAUUUACAUCAACUUUUUUUUUUUAAUAAUUCUUCAGUUUGGAAAAGUUAAGAUUAUUAUUGAAACUGUACAAUGAGAUCGUAUUCAUCGGAAAAAUGUAAUACGUUGAAAUACUUCGAUGAAAAGUUAAACGUGCCUAACAUGAAAACUGACGAUGUAUUCUGCGUUUGUUCGUUGAACAGAAAUAGCAAAUGGAUCUGUUGGAUGGAAGUUUAUUGUGACAUCUCUAAACGGACGACAGUUCACUCCUGGACACGCACUUCUGACCAAAUAUGCAUCAUCCUCUAAACAAAACCUGUUCCCAACCAAA
rnacentral:misc_RNA from 1 species